UCAAAUAAAGAAUUUUCUUUAAAUUUGGUACCUCAGUAGGUUCACUCCACUCGUUCGGUGCACCACAGAGGGAAUGUGUGGGUGAAACGUUCUGCAGUUUUAUUAUUUAUUCUAUAAAUUUCCAGAUCCCACCCUGUAAGUCUAUGAGUGUGUAUAUAUAGAUAAAAAAUAAUGAUAGCCACGUGAAGUAUAAAAUAUAUCUUUAAUAAUUCAAUUGAACGUCUGCACAUACUCUAACGAAUAUAAUAUGUUUGGUUCUCAGAUUUUGUGAAAUACCCAUAAUAUUAUGAUAUUUUGAUUUUCACACUCGUACCUACACCAAAAACUGGUUCGAAAUACAUUUUGGUAUAAUAACUUUGAUAUAAAAUGGAACUCUAGCAUCGCUUUUUAAAACCUACCCCCACGCGAUGAUUGCAGAUCGUGUUCGGAAUAUGGGGGAAUUUUCACUUUAUCACCGCAAUGACCUGAUUUUGGGGACAAAAGCUGUUUUUUUUCGGAGAACUCGAGACGUAUAAAACAUGUAUAAAACAUAAUAUAAUACGACGACGACCCACUCGCGGGCGUGUGUUGCGGUUACCUAUAUAUAUAUUUAUACGUACAUAGUACAUACCUACAACAGCAAAACUCGACCGGCGAUUGGACUCGAACGCGUGAUAUACCUAAUUUCGUUAUGACCGUAACGGAGCGUCUCCUAUACACGGUGAAAUAUAUACACACGUAUCACACAUAGAGUACAACAACAACAAUAAUAAUAUGUAGGCGAUAGUAAUAAUAUAACAUAAUGCGUAGCGUGGAGUGCAGUUUUUUGUUACCGUCGCGACGCUGCGAGUCAUUGUUUCGGAGUGCACAGCAAAAAACUCGGACGUGAGAGAUGAAAAGGGUUAAAGAAUUCUUUUGAAACGUCUCCCAAGACAAUGCAGUCGUCGGAGGUGUACAUAUAUAGGUGUAGGUUGGUGGCUGCAGGUAUAUACCCCACAGUUGCACGCGUCCACGUAAUGUGCGCGGUGAGAAAGGGGUCACUGGGCCACACCGCAAUGUUUAUUGCAGCAGUGUCAUUAUUACGAGGGAGCGACGUUUAAAAAGAAAAAACGAAUAAAUUCGUCUCCAAAAAAACCCGAUUCGGGUGUAAAGAAUACCUAUACUAUUAUGUGGGUCAAGAGAAAACGACAGUCCGCCGUCGUCGUCGACCAAUCGGCGACCGUCUCGCGUUUUUCGUAUAGGUAAACGACGAUCGCGAUGACCAUUAUUAUUACCUAUAUAUACCAUAUUAUUCUCACACGACCUGCAAAGCCCUUCUCGGUCAGCUCACUACCGAUUGUCGCGUAUUCGACAUUUGGAAUUCGAGCGGACCGUUGCUUGCUCCUCUUAGAACGCUAAACCGAUCGUACGUUUACGACACUACAGCCGAACAUAUCAUCGCUGGACCUCCACUCACACGGCACUCUACAUACAACCACACAUCGCCGCACAGCCUGUCGUCGCAGACCCUCCAAAGAUGCCGUCGAAAAAGUGUGAAAUUAUCCGAGGAAUGGUUAUCAUCAAGCGUUAAGGACACUGACAAAAUUGGACUGAUACAAAUAGGGACUCAACCGCACUGGAAUGAGGAAAUUAUCAUAUAAUAUUAUCAUGGAUUGUUGGGAGCACGAACGUCGCGACCUGCAGCUGUACGGCGGAUACCACCGCAGCGACGACACGGAAAUCACGUCAUCAAAAGAUAAUAACAAUAUAAUAAUAAUUAUUAUUAUUAUUGUUAUAUUAUUAUCAUUAUUAUUGCGACCGAUUUGCUGCAAGUCGACGGUGGCGGCGACGGCGUCUUUCCCACUACACUAAUAAUAAUAAUAAUUAUAAUAGUAUUAUGUAGCCGCGCACAAUGAGCAAUAAAAAUUAAUAUCACCGGUUCAAACGGCUCUGUUAAAAUGUCCCGUUUACGACGGCGUUAUCAGUGUUUAAACGGUUGUUAUUACGAGCCAUUUUGUAUACCAUACAUACAUAACAUAAUAAUAUAUUGUUACACAUAUAUAUCACCACCGCGUAUAUAAUAGCUGGUGCGUGUGUGUGUGUGUUUUUAUUUCUAGACUUUAUUAUUUUCUUUACAGCGUACCGUUUAAGAUUAUUACCAUUUUUUUUUUUUUUAUAUUUUUAUUAUUGGUUGUAUACACUUAUUAUUAUUAUUAUUAUUAUAUCUACUACGACCAUAAAUCCCGCGUACAAUGAUUUCAAUACGACUAAUUUUUUUAUAUAUUUUUUAUUGUAUUUUAAACGGACAGGUUUAUCGGUUUACUGCGUUUUUAUUUUUAUGUCUGUGUACAUAAUAUACGUAUUAAAACAGCAUAAUAAUAAUACGACUAUGUGCAAGACGAGAAACAAUAUUCUACACACAUGCACACAACAAAAUAUGACCAAUGUAAUAUUAUAUAAACGCG
rnacentral:lncRNA from 1 species